AUGAUUUAAGGGGGAAAAUGGAGGUCGAAGCUGACUGCGAAGGGGGUUCUCGCCUCCUGCUGUCUGUCCACAGAGCCCGUUUCGACUUCGCAGGAACCACUGAGACUCCACAGCCAUCUCAUCACAAAAAUAGUUAAGGGACCACGUGGACAGGAGCAACCCACGAAACGCUUACCAGACGUUGUGAGGAAUCAACAAAAGCCUUCAUUUUCUGUGACAUGGAUGACGGACGUGCACAUGUCUUUGCUUACUCUGAGUCUGCAGAGCUCCCUCCUCUCACGGUCGUUCUCCUCAGCUCUCGCUCGGAGCCAGGCCUCAUUCUGAGAGCGAUGCCGGUCCAGCAUCUCCUGCAGCUCCUGACACACAGAGCAGCAGCAGCUUUAGACAACUCAGAUUUCUCUCUGGAAAAACAAAAAGAAAUAAAAAAUGACCAAGCUCAGCAGUUACAUGGAUAUUAAAAUUACCACUCAAUACUUGUUCCGUACAUCAACGUGCGUUU